UUGUUUUAUCUGUUUUGUUUGGAAUCAAUUUCAAAAUUCAAAAUUCAGUUUCUCCCUCUCUUUUUCAAUAUGUAAACUCAUUUUCUUACUCAUCUCUCUUCAUUUUCUCUUGAUUCCUUCGAACUUCUCUCUCUCCAGGAAUCAACCAUCUUGGAUGACACAAGCCACAAUCUCCAAAGGUUUCAAAUUGCUUCUCCAUCUGUUGUUUUAUGAUUUAAUUUCAUCAUCUGAUUUUUAUGUGACAUGUUUAAUUUUUUGUCAAUGUUUGCAAAUUAGGUUUUCUUCUCAAUCUUCUCAAUCGAAUCCUCCAACCUGUUUCAUGAUCCAUCCCGUAGGUAAUUUCAGUUUGUUCUUUUCCAAAUCCCUAAUUUUCUUCAGUUGCAUUUCUAAUCACUUUCUGUUUCGUUUUUUCUUUUCAUUCUCUCAUUGGAGGUAAAAUUUUCAUACCUAAUUGAAGGAAUCACGCUCUCGCAUGACACAAUCAGGUGAGAGAGAUCCAAAAUAUUUUCACUUUCUUGCUUUUAUCCUCUCAUGAUUUCUGGUUUUUUCUCGCCUCAUAUAUUGUUCUCUUUCUCUCUGUUUUUAUCUUUCACAACAGGAAAUAAUGGUAGAAAGUUGGUAUGAGAGGUGAAAAAUUCUUGACUACAUAUACUUAAGGUAAACAUGUUUUUGGUGAAUAUAUGUUUGGUCUCCACUUUUAGCUCUGGUUCUGAAUAUACUAAUUGAACUUUUACUGUCUAUAUUUAUUAUUUUAAUUUUGAUUGUAACUGAUAUGUUGCUUUGUAGUUUAUCAAUUGGUAGAGUUUAUCAAUUGGUUUUGCUACACCAAUAACUAUUGUUAUACAUGAAUAAGUGAAGAGGAUUGGUUGCAUCCUCCAAAAAAAUAGGUUUUGAUAUUUUAUUGAUUACAAAUUAGUAGAUCUAAUGUUUAUUUGUUUAUCUUUUUGAUUAGUUUAUAUGUAUUGAGCACACUAUUAUUUAAUUGUGAGAUGCUAAUUUGAAUAGUUUGGGAUCAAAGACUACUUUCUUUUUUUUGUUUUGGUAAAUUAGUUUGGAUUAUUGGAGAAACCAGUUCCUAUUUUUCCUCAAGUUACCCACGUUGAUAGCAACCUCUUUUUAGAUUGAUUUCAAGUUAUUAACUAAUAUAAAAUAUCCUAUCAAUUGGUGUUUACUUCUUUUUAGUUACUAUUUUUUGUAUUUAUUCUUUUUAUAUCGAUUUUGGAAAAGAGGUUUUUGAAAAGAUUGUUGAUGACAGGGAUAUGACAAAGAUUGUUACCAUUAUUGCAUUCUCUUUGAUGAAAGNNNNAUUUCAAUUCUUGAAUUGGCUUUAAGUUUGUAAUUGUUUUGUCUAUUUUUUCUUUGAAAUCAGAAAUUAUUUACUCUAGCCAAUGUGGGUGACUAUGAGUUUGUCUAUUGAAAGAAUCUAAACAAUAUGUAGCUACUAAUUUGCAUGAGUUUGUCUAUUCAAAUUAGUAACUGUUGCUACUCAUAUGAAGCCCAUUUUAAUUUUUAAUUAGGAUAAUUUUCAUGAGUUUGUUUUAACUAUGAGUAAGUUUUAUGAACAUACUUAUUUCUUUUAGCUUUGUUAAACUUAGGCAUAUUACUUAUUGUGCACUUCAUGGAGAAAAGGAAUUAUUAACCUUUUUCUAUAUCAACAUUGUUGAAGGAUUUAGAACCAGUCUCUUUGAAUGCUUUUCAUUUUUGUUUUUAAAUAAUGCAAAUAUCUGAUCUAUUUCUUUUUUGGAUUUUCAAUUCAGCAGUUAACUUUUCAUUAUUAAUCUUUUUUGUGGUUAGAGCACAUUGGAUAGUGCAGUUGCUAGCUUUUUACCAAUAUUCUAUAGCCUUAUGUUCACUUUCAAUUUCAUUUGUAACAGAUGGUUAAGAAAUUUGUCUAAUCAUUUACAUUACCAAUUUUGAAUCCCAGUUCAUGCCUUGGACUUAAUGAAAUGUGUGGCUGCUGUAAAAAGGAAAGGAGUAGUGCCAGAAGAGGAUAUUUACAUUAAGUUUCUUACUUCCUUUUCAUUGAUGAAGAACGAGGUAGUACAUCAAGCUAUCUUCCAUAAAUUAAUUUAUUAUUGCUAUCUAUCUUUUAUAUAUGUUCAUUAUCCUAUAAAUGUAUUUGUUUUUAUUUUCCGAUCUACUGAGUUUGAAGUGUAUGAAUGAUCGCUAGCAUGGAGGAAGUAACAUGAAGGCUAACAUAAAGGUUAACCAAAAACCCUUUUGUACAACAUUUGUAUUCUGGCAAAAGCUCGAAAAACUUUAAAACCAAUUAUGAAGGCUUGAACCAGAAUGUGUUGGUGAUUUNNNNNNNNNNGUUUGUUUUGGUAUAUAUAGUCUGAAAUAAUACUUUGUGCUACUAAAUACAUGCAACACUUUCUUUAAUUUUCUCAUUAUCUAGAGUUCACUUCUUUUAAACAUGUUAUCAAAUUUAUUCUUCUUUGGUUGGUAACUCCUUUUGAUAACACAUCUUUUGUUGAUAUAAAACUCUUCCAAAUUCUAUAAUAUUUGUUGAAGUUGGAUUAGUGUUCCAUUAGUUUAUAUGUGAUGGGUGUACCAUGUACAGAUCUGCCAAUAAAAUUUUGGUGUAUGCAAAUUCUAUAACCCUUUUAAUAACUCAUCAUGAUAUGAAUUGUGUUUUGGAGAUAGAUUUUGGGGUUUGUGGGAAUUGUGUUCUAUUUUCUUAGAUUUACCUCUUUUGAUAACCUACUUGUGUUUUGCAGAUAACUAUACUUUGCAAUUACCAUUUUUAAUGUUGUUGGUUGUAGAAACUAUAAAUUCAAUGCAGCUCUCCAUUCUCAAUUA
rnacentral:lncRNA from 1 species